UAUGGCGACCGGCGCACGGGUGAGUAACACGUAUCCAACCUGCCGAUGACUCGGGGAUAGCCUUUCGAAAGAAAGAUUAAUACCCGAUGGCAUAGUUCUUCCGCAUGGUAGAACUAUUAAAGAAUUUCGGUCAUCGAUGGGGAUGCGUCCCAUUAGGUUGUUGGCGGGGUAACGGCCCACCAAGCCUUCGAUGGAUAGGGGUUCUGAGAGGAAGGUCCCCCACAUUGGAACUGAGACACGGUCCAA
rnacentral:rRNA from 1 species